AUUGAACGCUGGCGGCAGGCCUAACACAUGCAAGUCGAGCGGAUGAAGGGAGCUUGCUCCUGGAUUCAGCGGCGGAAGGGUGAGUAAUGCCUAGGAAUCUGCCUGGUAGGGGGGGAUAACGUCCGGAAACGGGCGCUAAUACCGCAUACGUCCUGAGGGAGAAAGUGGGGGGUCUUCGGACCUCACGCUAUCAGAUGAGCCUAGGUCGGAUUAGCUAGUUGGUGGGGUAAAGGCCUACCAAGGCGACGAUCCGUAACUGGUCUGAGAGGAUGAUCAGUCACACUGGAACUGAGACACGGUCCAGACUCCUACGGGAGGCAGCAGUGGGGAAUAUUGGACAAUGGGCGAAAGCCUGAUCCAGCCAUGCCGCGUGUGUGAAGAAGGUCUUCGGAUUGUAAAGCACUUUAAGUUGGGAGGAAGGGCAGUAAGUUAAUACCUUGCUGUUUUGACGUUACCAACAGAAUAAGCACCGGCUAACUUCGUG
rnacentral:rRNA from 1 species